GACGUAGGGCGCGAGCGUUGUCCGGAUUUAUUGGGCGUAAAGAGCUCGUAGGCGGCUCGUUGCGUCAACCGUGAAAACCCGGGGCUUAACUUCGGGCUCGCGGUUGAUACGGGCGGGCUGGAGUUCGGUAGGGAGACUGGAAUUCCUGGUGUAGCGGUGAAAUGCGCAGAUAUCAGGAAGAACACCCGUGGCGAAGGCGGCUCUCUGGGACGUGACUGACGCUGAGACGCGAAAGCGUGGGGAGCGAACAG
rnacentral:rRNA from 1 species